rnacentral:rRNA from 1 species
AUGGCGCUGCCGGCCCUCAAUCUCGCCGGAUCCGGCCGCCACCACGCCAAAUCCGCCGGAAAUGGAUCCAUCCCGGCCAUAUCCGCCCGGAUCCGCCCGGGCCUCCUGCCGUACGACGCCUCAUCCAGGAGUACAACAGCUGCCCCAUGGCAGCCAAGAUCCUCCAGAUCCUCUCCACCCAGCCGCCGUCAUUGCAGGAGGCUCACCAAAAAGCUUCCCCAAAUCCUACAAGAGGCUCAGGUUAGACGAGCCGCUGACAAAGACACAUCUCUAUUCUGA